UACGAAGGGGGCUAGCGUUGUUCGGAAUCACUGGGCGUAAAGGGCGCGUAGGCGGCUUUUCAAGUCAGGGGUGAAAUCCGGCAGCUCAACUGUCGAAGUGCCCUUGAUACUGAUGAGCUCGAGGGAGGUAGGGGUGUGUGGAACUUCCGGUGGAGCGGUGAAAUGCGUUGAUAUCGGAAGGAACGCCGGUGGCGAAAGCGACGCACUGGACCUCUUCUGACGCUGAGGCGCGAAAGCUAGGGGAGCAAACGGG
rnacentral:rRNA from 1 species